GAGAAUGUUGGGAGAAACUAACAGGAUUCCUUAGUAACUGCGAGUGAAGCGGGAAAAGCUCAAAUUUAAAAUCUGGCGGUUCUUGCAGCCGUCCGAGUUGUAAUUUAGAGAAGUGUUAUCCGCGCUGGACCGUGUACAAGUCUCUUGGAAUAGAGCGUCAUAGAGGGUGAGAAUCCCGUCUUUGACACGGACUGCCAGGGCAUUGUGAUGCGCUCUCGAAGAGUCGAGUUGUUUGGGAAUGCAGCUCAAAAUGGGUGGUAAAUUCCAUCUAAAGCUAAAUAUUGAGGAGAGACCGAUAGCGAACAAGUACCGUGAGGGAAAGAUGAAAAGAACUUUGGAAAGAGAGUUAAACAGUACGUGAAAUUGCUGAAAGGGAAACGCUUGAAGUCAGUCGCGUCGUUCAGAACUCAGCCUUGCUUCCGCUUGGUGUACUUUCUGUUCCACGGGUCACCAUCCGGUUUGGUCCGUGGAUAAAAGCUCAAAAAAAGAGGGAUCUUUCGGUGUGUUAUACCUUUGGGUCGCAUACAUUGGCUGGGACUGAAGAACUCAGCACGCCGGAAGGCCGGGUACUUGUACCACGUUCGUGCUUAAGAUGCUGGCAUAAUGGCUUUUAUCGACCCGUCUUGGAACACUCGACCAAGGAUCUAACAUGGCUGCCAGUGUUUGGGUGGAAAACCCCAGCGCGUAAUGAAGUGAAAGUGAUAUCCCUGUCUGGGGAGCACCCACCCCCGGAGCAAACCUUCUGUGAGCAUCCGCGGUAGAGAUGUAUGAUGGGACCCUAAGAUGGUGAACUAUGCCUGAAUAGGGUGAAGCCGGAGGAACUCUGGUGGUUGCUCGUAGCUGAUUCUGACUGCACAUCGAUCGUCGACUUUGCGUAUAUGGGCGAAGACUAUCGACCCAUCUAGUAGCUGGGUCUGCCGAGCUACCCUCAGGAUGACGACUCAGAAUCAGAUUAUGUAGUGAGCGAUGAUAAGCUGGGCUGGAACACCUAACUAUCUCAACCUAAUAUGUAGACGGACGUUCCCUCAUUGAACGUCCGCAUGCAGUUCAAUUGCCAUUGGUAGCGACUUGCAUCGAUGACGAACCCAGUAGUCCGAUCCAGCCUUACCAAGGUAGUACUGAACGCGGACUGUGAC
rnacentral:rRNA from 1 species